rnacentral:rRNA from 1 species
GAUCAUGCCUCAGGAUGAACGCUAGCGACAGGCUUAACACAUGCAAGUCGAGGGGCAGCACAGGUAGCAAUACCGGGUGGCGACCGGCGCACGGGUGAGUAACGCGUAUGCAACUUACCUAUCAGAGGGGGAUAACCCGGCGAAAGUCGGACUAAUACCGCAUGAAGCAGGGGUCCCGCAUGGGGAUAUUUGCUAAAGAUUCAUCGCUGAUAGAUAGGCAUGCGUUCCAUUAGG